AACCCAUGAUGAGGACACAUUCUCAACAAAUCCUUAAAUCUCUCCCAUACAUCAUAUAAGUCUCUAAACCAAUUUGAGAAAAAGAAGAGAUGUUGUCCCUCAACUU
rfam:Gossypium hirsutum cultivar TM-1 chromosome 15, whole genome shotgun sequence